GACGAACGCUGGCGGCGUGCUUAACACAUGCAAGUCGAACGGUAAGGCUCCAGCUUGCUGGGGUACACGAGUGGCGAACGGGUGAGUAACACGUGGGUGACCUGCCCUGCACUUCGGGAUAAGCCUGGGAAACUGGGUCUAAUACCGGAUAGGACCAUGGUGUGGAUACUGUGGUGGAAAGUUUUUUCGGUGUGGGAUGGGCCCGCGGCCUAUCAGCUUGUUGGUGGGGUGAUGGCCUACCAAGGCGGCGACGGGUAGCCGGCCUGAGAGGGUGGACGGCCACAUUGGGACUGAGACACGGCCCAGACUCCUACGGGAGGCAGCAGUGGGGAAUAUUGCACAAUGGGCGGAAGCCUGAUGCAGCGACGCCGCGUGGGGGAUGACGGCCUUCGGGUUGUAAACUCCUUUCACCAUCGACGAAGGGUUUCUGACGGUAGAUGGAGAAGAAGCACCGGCUAACUACGUG
rnacentral:rRNA from 1 species